rnacentral:tRNA from 1 species
UAGCUCAAUGAUAGGGCAUUUGCCUAGCAAGCAUGAAGACUUGGGUUCAAUUCCCAG